AUGAACGCUUGCGGCGUGCCUAAUACAUGCAAGUCGAGCGAACAGACGAGGAGCUUGCUCCUCUGACGUUAGCGGCGGACGGGUGAGUAACACGUGGAUAACCUACCUAUAAGACUGGGAUAACUUCGGGAAACCGGAGCUAAUACCGGAUAAUAUAUUGAACCGCAUGGUUCAAUAGUGAAAGACGGUUUUGCUGUCACUUAUAGAUGGAUCCGCGCCGCAUUAGCUAGUUGGUAAGGUAACGGCUUACCAAGGCAACGAUGCGUAGCCGACCUGAGAGGGUGAUCGGCCACACUGGAACUGAGACACGGUCCAGACUCCUACGGGAGGCAGCAGUAGGGAAUCUUCCGCAAUGGGCGAAAGCUUGACGGAGCAACGCCGCGUGAGUGAUGAAGGUCUUCGGAUCGUAAAACUCUGUUAUUAGGGAAGAACAAAUGUGUAAGUAACUAUGCACGUCUUGACGGUACCUAAUCAGAAAGCCACGGCUAACUACGUG
rnacentral:rRNA from 1 species